CCAAGGAGAUCCACCGUACCAGCGGCUCCUCCAUUGCUCUAACUGGCGGAACCACCCCUCUCUCCUUCUCUUCCUCCUCUCUUCUUAUCCUUCUUCACUGAUGAGAUCCUUAUCCUCUCCCACUUCUGGCGAAAAUCGAUCGAACAACCGCCACUCAUCUUCUCUUUAAUACUCUGUCAGGCAUCAGUACAGUCGUGACAACCAAGAGACGAGCGUUGCUGUUUCUAUUGGCGUGUUCACGACCGAGCCGUCUUGAGCCUCCUCCAGCGAGCUUCGACGAAGAAAGCGAGUCUAGCAAUCUUCGGAGGCGUUCAAACCUACGUCUAUCAAAAAUGGAUUUGUAAAGAUUCGUCUGAUAUAACUAGAAUCAAUAUUGAAGUUCAUGAAAAGUUAAAGAAAAAUGUUGUGAAAUGAAGUCCUCAAAAAUGAUAUUAGAGAUUCCGUUUGUAAAGGGAGGUGUGUCAAGGAAAUUUCAUCAACAAAUCUAAAGUUGGGAAUAACAACUCAAUUUUUUUUGCUCAAAACAAGUGAAGCUCACGAGAUAGGAGAAAGACGUAAUGAUUAGAUUACAUUGUAUCUUUCAAGAUAAGCAUAUCAUUGUUAUAAGACAUUAUUUUGUCAUAAAUUGUCUACAUUUGUGACAAAACAUUUGUCUUCAAAUUAUUUUUUGAUCAAUUAUAUAAUUUAUUUUUAAUUA